rnacentral:misc_RNA from 1 species
GAUGAAGAACGUAGCGAAAUGCGAUAAGUAAUGUGAAUUGCAGAAUUCAGUGAAUCAUCGAAUCUUUGAACGCACCUUGCACCCUUUGGCAUUCUGAAGGGUAUGCUCGUUUGAGUGUCAUUGUACUCUCACACUCCCGAUCUUUGCAUUGGGAGCAGUGGACUUGGGUUUGCUGCUUCACCGUCGCUUACCUCAAAUAGGUUAGUGCAACUCUUGGUUGGACAUAGUACGGCGUGAUAAGUGUGCUUCGCCGGUGCCUCGCAAAGAGGGUGGCCGAUCGGGAUGUUGUGCUCCAAACCGUCUUCGGACAAUCUCUGACGACUUGACCUCAAAUCGAGUAAGACUACCCGCUGAACUUAAGCAUAUCAAUAAGCGGAGGA